rnacentral:rRNA from 1 species
GGUCAAAUCAUCAUGCCUCUUACACCUAGGGCUACAGGCGUGCUACAAUGGCUGGUACAACGAGUCGCAACACAGUGAUGUGGAGCUAAUCUCUUAAAGCCAGUCCCAGUUCGGAUUGUAGUCUGCAACUCGACUACAUGAAGUUGGAAUCGCUAGUAAUCCCGGAUCAGAAUGCCGGGGUGAAUACGUUCUCGGGUGUU